AGAGAGAGAGAGAGAGAGAGAGAGAGAGAGAGAAGACGAAAAAUAAGAUCAACUUUCGCGUGCGCGUGAGCGAUACAAGUCGAAAUCUUCAAACUUACAAAACUCUUUAGCAUCGUAAAGGCAAAGCAUAUGACCAAGCUCUUAACGAUGACUUAGCGUAAACGACAAACAAGUAAAUAUAAAUAUAAAUAAAAUAUGAAUAUAGGUAUAAAUUGAGAUAUAAAUAUACACUGCACACACGCGCGCGCACAUACGUACGUGUGUGUGUGUGGGGAGGGAGGGGGCGGGGGGUUAGUUGUAAUUCAAGAGUGUACGUAUAAAUAUACAUAAUAAGUAUAAAUAUAUACAUCCAUACAUACAUACAUAUAAAUAACUACGAUGCAAGCUAGGUUAAUGAACGGUUAAUAACGAUAAUAACAUAGUAAUAACGAUAACGUUGAUAAUAUUGAUCACGAUGCUUGAGAACGAUACUUGUAACGAUAAGUGACGCACGAUUCGAACAACUUUCUCGAUCCCUGUCUCGCAGUAUACGAAGCAGUGUACGAAGCAGUGUACGAAACAGUGUACGAAGCGGUGUACGAAGCAGUGUACAAGAACAGCAGAACGCUGCGAGUUGAGAUAACAAGUGGUCGGUAACGAAGCGAGAAUAGUAGGCGCGAACAACGGAUGCUGAUCAGCGUAGUGGAAUGGAAGCAGAGAGGAAAGACGACGGAACGUGUUGAAAACAACGGGGAUCUCGAAAAUGGCAUUUGAACGUUUUACGAAAGAACGAUGGAACAUUUAGAUGGAUUCGAUACUGCUAACAAGUCCAAGUAGACGUUAAAAUCGGUCAAAUUAUCAAUUUUUCCAAUUUAUUCUAUCUUUCUAUUCGCAUUUCGUGAAAUUCAGCUACGCGUGGUUCAGUUUUACGAAACGGGUGUACACGAGGGUGUUAGCGAGCGUUACGCGUUGGGAUUAAUCGUAAAACGUUUGCCGUUUGCCAGCUAUCUAGUCGUCAAAGUUAAACAUCUAUUCGUACUAUAAACGCACGAAUCCCUGUCGUCGAUCCAAAGAUCGAGUUCUAUUCGAGGCAUGGAUUAGCACGAGCUUGUUCCGUCAAUCGUUGAAAGCGGUGCUCGAGAAUCGUGAUUAUCCGAUAACGACGGGUACAGCUAUAUUCGACGAGGCGCGUGUAAAAUGGUCCGAUCGUUAUUGGAUGAGCAUGAAGGGAAGAAAAGUAGAGGAAAGCGGGAAAGCGAAAGGAAGAAAAACGAGGAAACGAAAGGAUAAACUCGAUUAUUCUUUGAAAUUUGCGAAAACGACCGGUUCGGUGUCGAGCAUGAAUGUGUGAGUGAAAGUGCGAAGAAAGAAAGGGAGCGCAAGAGGAAGAAUGAAAACGAAGACGUAAGCAUGCAUUAUUACUUAUGUAUUAUGCAGUAAACGAGGAAAAAGAUACUUACCUUAUACAUAUAUAUAUAUAUAUAUAUAUAUAUAUGUAUACAAAUAUAUAUAUAUAUAAAUAUUAUAUAUAUAUACAUAGCUAGUUCAAUUUGCAAAUUAGUGUGUAUUGUCGCUUUUAAAUGCCAUUAUUUCUCAAAACUUAAACCCAACAACCAAUUUCAAGUUCAUUCUUUUUUUAAGGAAAAAACCAAUAAAAUAAUGUGUUAAAAUAUUUCAAGAUACUCGUGUUUUUCAAUUAAGCUUAAGACAUUACGAAGGCUAAUUAAAAUUUUCAAAGUUUUUCCACUUUUAACGAAUACGCGAUCUCUGCGUUUCCGAUGUUUCGAAAUUAGUGCAGGUACUUCAGAGAGGGCGCACUGAAUUGUUUUUUUCCAUCAUCUUCUUGUAUAUUAUCCGAGGCUCGACAGAUGGCAGCACCAAACGCCUCGUGAAGUCCUUUUAUACGAAAUAUAAAGAUAAUCGCAUAGAAACGACAAGAUACCUUCCGAACCCGCAGCUUUCGCUUAGUAAAAAUGUUUAUUUUUUAUGAAAACUAAGUAGUAUAUACUUGUAACCUCCCAAAUAUAAAUUUUUACUCCA